rnacentral:rRNA from 1 species
AUGAACGCUAGCGACAGGCUUAACACAUGCAAGUCGAGGGGCAGCACAGGUAGCAAUACCGGGUGGCGACCGGCGCACGGGUGAGUAACGCGUAUGCAACUUACCUAUCAGAGGGGGAUAACCCGGCGAAAGUCGGACUAAUACCGCAUGAAGCAGGGGCCCCGCAUGGGGAUAUUUGCUAAAGAUUCAUCGCUGAUAGAUAGGCAUGCGUUCCAUUAGGCAGUUGGCGGGGUAACGGCCCACCAAACCGACGAUGGAUAGGGGUUCUGAGAGGAAGGUCCCCCACAUUGGUACUGAGACACGGACCAAACUCCUACGGGAGGCAGCAGUGAGGAAUAUUGGUCAAUGGGCGCGAGCCUGAACCAGCCAAGUCGCGUGAGGGAUGAAGGUUCUAUGGAUCGUAAACCUCUUUUAUAAGGGAAUAAAGUGCGGGACGUGUCCCGUUUUGUAUGUACCUUAUGAAUAAGGAUCGGCUAACUCCGUGCCAGCAGCCGCGGUAAUACGGAGGAUCCGAGCGUUAUCCGGAUUUAUUGGGUUUAAAGGGUGCGUAGGCGGCCUUUUAAGUCAGCGGUGAAAGUCUGUGGCUCAACCAUAGAAUUGCCGUUGAAACUGGGAGGCUUGAGUAUGUUUGAGGCAGGCGGAAUGCGUGGUGUAGCGGUGAAAUGCUUAGAUAUCACGCAGAACCCCGAUUGCGAAGGCAGCCUGCCAAGCCAUGACUGACGCUGAUGCACGAAAGCGUGGGGAUCAAACAGGAUUAGAUACCCUGGUAGUCCACGCAGUAAACGAUGAUCACUAGCUGUUUGCGAUACAUUGUAAGCGGCACAGCGAAAGCGUUAAGUGAUCCACCUGGGGAGUACGCCGGCAACGGUGAAACUCAAAGGAAUUGACGGGGGCCCGCACAAGCGGAGGAACAUGUGGUUUAAUUCGAUGAUACGCGAGGAACCUUACCCGGGUUUGAACGCAUUCGGACCGAGGUGGAAACACCUUUUCUAGCAAUAGCCGUUUGCGAGGUGCUGCAUGGUUGUCGUCAGCUCGUGCCGUGAGGUGUCGGCUUAAGUGCCAUAACGAGCGCAACCCUUGCCACUAGUUACUAACAGGUUAGGCUGAGGACUCUGGUGGGACUGCCAGCGUAAGCUGCGAGGAAGGCGGGGAUGACGUCAAAUCAGCACGGCCCUUACAUCCGGGGCGACACACGUGUUACAAUGGCGUGGACAAAGGGAUGCCACCUGGCGACAGGGAGCGAAUCCCCAAACCACGUCUCAGUUCGGAUCGGAGUCUGCAACCCGACUCCGUGAAGCUGGAUUCGCUAGUAAUCGCGCAUCAGCCAUGGCGCGGUGAAUACGUUCCCGGGCCUUGUACACACCGCCCGUCAAGCCAUGGGAGCCGGGGGUACCUGAAGUCCGUAACCGAAAGGAUCGGCCUAGGGUAAAACUGGUGACUGGGGCU